AGAUAUGCAAUGAAGCUCAAACAGUAGAGUAUGAGACUCUUAAUCUCAUGGUCCUGGGUUCGAGGUCCAUGUUGGGCUA